GAUGAACGCUAGCGGCAGGCUUAACACAUGCAAGUCGAGGGGCAGCAUAAUGAAGUAGCAAUACGGAUUUGAUGGCGACCGGCGCACGGGUGCGUAACGCGUAUGCAACCUACCCAUAACAGGGGGAUAACACUAAGAAAUUGGUACUAAUACCCCAUAAUACUUUGGAAGGCAUCUUCUGGGGUUGAAAGUUCAGGCGGUUAUGGAUGGGCAUGCGUUGUAUUGGCUAGAUGGUGAGGUAACGGCUCACCAUGGCAACGAUACAUAGGGGGACUGACAGGUUAACCCCCCACACUGGUACUGGGACACGGACCAGACUCCUACGGGAGGCAGCAGUGAGGAAUAUUGGUCAAUGGACGCAAGUCUGAACCAGCCAUGCCGCGUGCAGGAAGACGGCUCUAUGAGUUGUAAACUGCUUUUGUACAAGGGUAAACCCUGGGACGUGUCCCAGGCUGAAAGUACUGUACGAAUAAGGAUCGGCUAACUCCGUGCCAGCAGCCGCGGUAACAC
rnacentral:rRNA from 1 species